ACCUAACCAGAAAGCCACGGCUAACUACGUGCCAGCAGCCGCGGUAAUACGUAGGUGGCAAGCGUUGUCCGGAAUUAUUGGGCGUAAAGGGCUCGCAGGCGGUUUCUUAAGUCUGAUGUGAAAGCCCCCGGCUCAACCGGGGAGGGUCAUUGGAAACUGGGGAACUUGAGUGCAGAAGAGGAGAGUGGAAUUCCACGUGUAGCGGUGAAAUGCGUAGAGAUGUGGAGGAACACCAGUGGCGAAGGCGACUCUCUGGUCUGUAACUGACGCUGAGGAGCGAAAGCGUGGGGAGCGAACAGGAUUAGAUACCCUGGUAGUCCACGCCGUAAACGAUGAGUGCUAAGUGUUAGGGGGUUUCCGCCCCUUAGU
rnacentral:rRNA from 1 species